rnacentral:rRNA from 1 species
UACGUAGGGGGCUAGCGUUGUCCGGAAUCAUUGGGCGUAAAGCGCGCGUAGGCGGCCCGGUAAGUCCGCUGUAAAAGUCAAAGGCUCAACCUCUGAAUGUCAGUGGAUACUGCCGGGCUAGAGUCCGGAAGAGGCGAGUGGAACUCCUGGUGUAGCGGUGGAAUGCGCAGAUAUCAGGAAGAACACCGACGGCGAAGGCAGCUCGCUGGGACGGUACUGACGCUGAGGCGCGAAAGCGUGGGGAGCAAACAGG